GAUGAAGAACGCGGCGAAAUGCGAUAAGUAAUGUGAAUUGCAGAAUUCAGUGAAUCAUCGAAUCUUUGAACGCACAUUGCGCCCGCCAGUAUUCUGGCGGGCAUGCCUGUUCGAGCGUCAUUACAACCCUCAGGCCCCCGGGCCUGGCGUUGGGGAUCGGCGGAGCCCCCCGUGGGCACACGCCGUCCCCCAAAUGCAGUGGCGGUCCCGCCGCAGCUUCCAUCGCGUAGUAGCUAACACCUCGCGACUGGAGAGCGGCGCGGCCACGCCGUAAAACACCCAACUCUUCUGAAGUUGACCUCGAAUCAGGUAGGAAUACCCGCUGAACUUAAGCAUAUCAAUAAGCGGAGGA
rnacentral:misc_RNA from 1 species